rnacentral:pre_miRNA from 1 species
AGGAGGAACAACUGCAGUGGCGGGGCCAGCUCUGCAGCCCUGGAGUCAGCUCCCGCAGUAGCUCCAGAGCUCUCCGUCUGCAGGGCCUGGAGGCUCCGGGGCGGG